GACAGAGGGUGCAAACGUUGUUCGGAAUUACUGGGCGUAAAGCGCGUGUAGGCGGCUAUGCAAGUCGGGCGUGAAAUCCCACGGCUCAACCGUGGAAGUGCACUCGAAACUGCGUAGCUAGAGUCCUGGAGAGGAAGGUGGAAUGCUUGGUGUAGAGGUGAAAUUCGUAGAUAUCAAGCGGAACACCGGUGGCGAAGGCGGCCUUCUGGACAGUGACUGACGCUGAGACGCGAAAGCGUGGGGAGCAAACAGGAUUAGAAACCCGCGUAGUCC
rnacentral:rRNA from 1 species